GUCGCCAGGGCGCGCAUCGGAGGGGUAUGGGGGCGCUGCACCUACCCCCAACUUGGCGCGUUUCGGCCAGGACCUCAGGGCCCGGGUGCACCGUGCUGGGCGCGGGAGGCGUCCCUAAGCUGCUGUCGCGCUCCGAGCCCCCGAGGGGGUGGCAGCAGGGCCGCGCCUGAGGACAGGCAUGCAGCGUCUGCCCAGGAGUGCAGGCCCGGUGCCGGGAGAACAACCUAUUCCUCCCUCCCUCAAGCACCUUGGACAAUCUGGGAAGGCUCCCCAAAGGAGGGGCAGCAGCCUGUCUCAGCUCCAGAGUGGAACUCACGUUCACAGGCACUUGCAGGCUCGCAGGGAGGACUGGCUACGAGGAGAGCUAGGAAACCCAUCUUCUCCUGUCUGUGGGCAUCGGAACUCCGGGUUCUCCAGCCACUGCACCUUGGGACUCAUACCAGUAGCUACUCCACCACCACCAGUUUUCAGGCCUUUGGCCUCAGACUGAGAGUUACACAAUCUGUUCCCCUGGUUCUGAGGCCUUUGGGCUUGGACUGAGCCCCGCACCAGCUUCUCUAGGUCUCCAGCUUGCAGACUGCCUGUCGUGAGACUUCUCAGCCUGCAUAAUCAGAACUGUCAGGUCUCUGAGCUGAAGCUCAGCCAUUAUAACCUCUGUGACCUGCACAUACACAUCCAGGUGGCCUGCAAGAGCCAAGAAUUCUGGAGCAGCCAAGAAACCACGAAGAAGUAAAACAGCCAGUUCCUGCCUUAACUGAUUAACCAAAAUUACAACAUUUUAUCAAUGUGACUUGUCCCAUUAGGUGAUCAAUAGACUUUGUGACAUUCUUCUUCUGGACAAUAAAUCUUAUGAUCACCCUACAAUGUACCUUGUAACCCCCUCCCCUGCUAACAAUAGAUACCCACCUUUUACUGUAAUUUUCCAUUACCUACCUAACUCCUAUAAAGCAACCCCUUCCCCAUCUCCCUUCGCUGACUCUCUUUUUGGACUCAGCCCACCUGCACCCAGGUGAAUUAAAAGCUUUAUUGC
rnacentral:lncRNA from 1 species